AAAAACCCUAAGAGAGGUUUCUUCAAAACACCUACCCAGUUAGAGAGAGCUACUCAUUAUUAGAGAGAAAUCUUUGUAGUCUCUUCUCAUUCCCUCUCUCAUUGUCAUACUUAUUGAGAGGAGAUUUCUAUCCAAACACUACCCACACCCAUUUAAAGUGUUGAGUGUUUUUGGAGUUUUGGGAAGCAUUGGAAGAUGCCAAGGAUGGCGGAUGCUAUGAAUUAUAGCGGAAUCUGGUAAGUUAGAAAAGAAAAAGGUUCGGCGCAACCUCGUUGGAGCAAGAAGCUUGGAGGGCUUAGGUACAUCGGGUAGAUUAUGCUUGGAGGGUCUAUUACUGUUCAUGUAUCCCAACUACAUUUUCUAGUGGAUUAUUGACCGCUUGGAGGGCGGCGGAGAGGUUUUACGCCGAGGGCUUCGGUUUCCUCUUCGAUAACACAUCGUGUGUUGUCCUUGUAUUUGCAUCUCUCUUCCCUUUAUCUUUGCCUUUUAUUUUCUGCUGUGUAUGUGAUUUAUAAUUGGCUUAGAUUGAUUUCCAAUUCUGUUUA